rnacentral:tRNA from 1 species
CCUCGUGGAGCUCAAUUGGUAGAGCAGAACAUUGAAGCUAUUUUGGUUGUAAGUUCAAGUUUUAUCUCGAGCA